rnacentral:rRNA from 1 species
UACGUAGGGGGCAAGCGUUGUCCGGAAUCAUUGGGCGUAAAGAGCGUGUAGGCGGUUCGGUAAGUCGGCUGUGAAAGUCCAGGGCUCAACCCUGGGAUGCCGGUCGAUACUGCCGGACUAGAGUUCGGAAGAGGCGAGUGGAAUUCCAGGUGUAGCGGUGAAAUGCGUAGAUAUCUGGAGGAAUACCGGUGGCGAAGGCGGCAUCCUGGACCGAGAUUGACGCUGAGGAGCGAAAGCUAGGGGAGCAAACGGG